rnacentral:rRNA from 1 species
UUGGAGGGCAAGUCUGGUGCCAGCAGCCGCGGUAAUUCCAGCUCCAAUAGCGUAUAUUAAAGUUGUUGCAGUUAAAAAGCUCGUAGUUGAAUUUCGGGAUCGAUGGGUCGGUCAUGCCCUCGGUAUGUACUGAUCCCAUUGGUCCUCACCUUCUAAGGAACCAUGAUGUCAUUCGGUUGAUGUUGUGGGGAAUUAGGACUGUUACCUUGAAAAAAUUAGAGUGUUUAAAGCAGGCCAACGCUUGAAUACAUUAGCAUGGAAUAAUGAAAUAGGACAUCCGAUUCUAUUUUGUUGGUUUCUAGGAUCGAUGUAAUGAUUAAUAGGGAUAGUUGGGGGCAUUAGUAUUCAAUUGUCAGAGGUGAAAUUCUUGGAUUUAUUGAAGACUAACUACUGCGAAAGCAUUUGCCAAGGAUGUUUUCAUUAAUCAAGAACGAAAGUUAGGGGAUCGAAGACGAUCAGAUACCGUCGUAGUCUUAACCAUAAACUAUGCCGACUAGGGAUCGGAUGAUGCUUAUUUUUUAAUGACUCAUUCGGCGCCUUACGGGAAAC